rnacentral:rRNA from 1 species
AUUGAACGCUGGCGGCAUGCCUAACACAUGCAAGUCGAGCGGACGAAGGGAGCUUGCUCCUGGCUUCAGCGGCGGACGGGUGGGUAAUUCCUAGGAAGCUGCCUGAUCGUUGGGGCUAACGUCCGUACGCGAGCCCUAAUACAGCAUAGGUCCAGAGGUUGAACGGGGGGGUUCUUCGGACAUCACGCUAUCUGAUGAGCCUAGUUCGGAUUAGCUAGUUGGUUGGGUAAAGGCCUACCAAGGCGACGAUCCGUAACUGGUCUGAGAGGAUGAUCAGUCACACUGGAACUGAGACACGGUCCAGACUCCUACGGGAGGCAGCAGUGGGGAAUAUUGGACAAUGGGCGAAAGCCUGACGCAGCCAUGCCGCGUGUGUGAAGAAGGUCUUCGGAUCGUAAAGCACUGUUAGUUGGGAGGAAGGGCAGUAAGUUAAUACCUUGCUGUUUUGACGUUACCAACAGAAUAAGCACCGGCUAACUACGUG